GGGGAAUCUUCCGCAAUGGGCGAAAGCCUGACGGAGCAACGCCGCGUGAGUGAAGACGGCCUUCGGGUUGUAAAGCUCUGUUAUACGGGACGAAUAGUCUUGUGGUUAAUACCCAUGAGAAGUGACGGUACCGUAAGAGAAAGCCACGGCUAACUACGUGCCAGCAGCCGCGGUAAUACGUAGGUGGCAAGCGUUGUCCGGAAUUAUUGGGCGUAAAGGGCGCGCAGGCGGCUUCUUAAGUCUGUCUUAAAAGUGCGGGGCUUAACCCCGUGAUGGGAUGGAAACUGGGAAGCUCAGAGUAUCGGAGAGGAAAGCGGAAUUCCUAGUGUAGCGGUGAAAUGCGUAGAUAUUAGGAGGAACACCAGUGGCGAAAGCGGCUUUCUGGACGAAAACUGACGCUGAGGCGCGAAAGCCAGGGGAGCGAACGGGAUUAGAUACCCCGGUAGUCCUGGCCGUAAACGAUGGGUACUAGGUGUAGGAGGUAUCGACCCCUUCUGUGCCGGAGUUAACGCAAUAAGUACCCCGCCUGGGGAGUACGACCGCAAGGUUG
rnacentral:rRNA from 1 species